CAAGGUCACCCUUGGCUACACUGAAGCUGAAGGAUACCUUGCUUGGUGAUCACCAACACUGCCAGGAUCUCACCAUGAAAGCUGCAGUGGCUGCCACUUGAUGCUGUUGUGAAGUUGCAGCUGAUAUGAAAACAAGAAGUAGGGUCUGGAGUGUGGGAAGCAGAGAUGGAAGGCAGUGCUGUAUGCAAAGAAUAGUCACCAGCUAAAGUGGGGACCGGCUCUGCACUGUGUACGAAUAUUCAUCAGAUAAAAGGGCGAUGGUUCAUUAGGUAAAGGCAUUUGCCACCAAGUCUGAUGACCCUCCAGAACCUGCAUGGUGGAAGGAGAAAACCAACUCCUCAGAGUUGUCCCCUGAGCACCACAGGGACACCAAGGUGUGUGCAUGCCUGUCCAUCCAUAUACACACAUGCAAAAUAAAUUUUAAAAAAUGUUAAAGGAAAAGAAAACCAGAAGAGAUGAUUCUGCAGCUAGGAUACCAUCAAACAAACACAAACAAAUGAAUGGAUAAAUACAAAAAUCAGAGGGCAACUUAGUAAAGUAACUGGAUGCAAAAUACAUGUACAAAAAUU
rnacentral:lncRNA from 1 species